CAAGUUUCAAGAAUUCAGCCGUAACAUCUGGGGUCUAGAAUUUAAGAAGAACAAAGAUUAUUACAUCAUAUGCCUGCAUAACCAGGAAGGAGGGGUGUGCAAGACAAGAGCCAUGAAGAUCAUCAUGAAAGUUGGACAAAAUGCAAGUCCUGCUGGAUCAACCAGGAAUAAUGAUCCAACAAGACGUCCAGAGCUAGAAGCUAGUACAAAUGGGAGAUAUUCAACAACAAGCCCUUUUGUAUAACCAAAUCCAGGGACAGCAGUGUAGUGGGGAUGUGUGUCUAUGGGGUGCAUUUUUCUUAGAACCCAUAGAGGCAGAGGAGCCUCUAAACACAUCCAAACCAGUGAGAUUCACUCGUGGGCACAGAUUCCUGGGGUCUUUGCUCCCAGUGAGUCAAUAUUAACUCUGCCACUAAGACAGAUUAAUUCAGCCCGCUCAGUCACAAGAGCAGAGCUCACCAGGUGUUUCAGUUACUGAUGCAUCCUGAAGUGUUGAAACUAGGGAUGUUCCAGAUUUGCUGUCUAAUCUUUAGGAAGUGGUUGGCCUGGUGAGUGUCGGACCUUUGAAGCUCCUUCACCUCAUCUGGUGAUCUGUUGUCAAGUGGACCCAGAACCAGCACCGAUGGCAACAGCGCAGGGCAUUCCAGGAACAAUCUGGGUUACAAAGUGGCCUUAUUCGCAGGAAUCAUAUCAGGAUGCAU
rnacentral:lncRNA from 1 species